rnacentral:rRNA from 1 species
UACGGAGGGUGCAAGCGUUAUCCGGAUUUACUGGGUUUAAAGGGUGCGUAGGUGGGUUUGUAAGUCAGUGGUGAAAUCUCCGAGCUUAACUCGGAAACUGCCAUUGAUACUAUAGAUCUUGAAUUAUCUGGAGGUAAGCGGAAUAUGUCAUGUAGCGGUGAAAUGCUUAGAUAUGGCAUAGAACACCAAUUGCGAAGGCAGCUUACUACGGAUAUAUUGACACUGAGGCACGAAAGCGUGGGGAUCAAACAGG